rnacentral:rRNA from 1 species
UACGGGGGGGGCAAGCGUUGUUCGGAAUUACUGGGCGUAAAGGGCUCGUAGGCGGCCAACUAAGUCAGACGUGAAAUCCCUCGGCUUAACCGGGGAACUGCGUCUGAUACUGGAUGGCUAGAGGUUGGGAGAGGGAUGCGGAAUUCCAGGUGUAGCGGUGAAAUGCGUAGAUAUCUGGAGGAACACCGGUGGCGAAGGCGGCAUCCUGGACCAAUUCUGACGCCGAGGAGCGAAAGCCAGGGGAGCAAACGGG